rnacentral:rRNA from 1 species
UUUUCCCCACUGGGCGCAAGCCUGAGGGGGCGACGCCGCGUGCAGGAUGACGGCCUUCGGGUUGUAAACUGCUUUUUGGAGGGGAGAUAGUGAAGGUACCUGCCGAAUAAGCCCCGGCUAACUCUGUGCCAGCAGCCGCGGUAAGACAGAGGGGGCAAGCGUUGUCCGGACUGACUGGGCGUAAAGCGUCCGCAGGUGGCGUGGCAAGUACGGUGUGAAAUCAGGCGGCUCAACCGCCUGCGGUCAUCGUAGACUGUCAUGCUGGAGGACUGGAGAGGUCGGUGGAAUUGCCGGUGUAGUGGUGAUAUGCGUAGAUAUCGGCAGGAACACCCAAGGGGAAGCCAGCCGACUGGCCAGUGCCUGACACUCAUGGACGACAGCGUGGGGAGCGAAC